AAAGGGCAGAGAGGCUGUUUCCAGUCGACCCUCGGCGCAUAGGAUAAAAUGGAAAGCAGCAUUAAAACAAAAACAAAGACAAAAUUAGAAACAAAAAAAGAACAAAACAAAACAAUAAAGCAUUAGUAAAUCCCGCAGAAAUAACGUAAAUAAUUAUGUAAACAUAAGAAACAUAAUUACAAUCGCAUGCAAUAAUAACAAACAGUAACUACCAUACUAACAACCAUAAGAGGGACAUAAGCUAAAACACAAAUCAUCUAUGGAUAACCCUGCUGUUCCACACCCAACCCCGGGAGAGGCGUACGAAGCACUCUAUGAGCCCCUAGCCUACAACACUGAUUCUAGACCUCCAGACUUCCCUAUCAAGGGUCAGGUCCUCGGAAACCUGCAUUCUAGUCAUGUCCUGCCUGAUCACCUCUCCCCAAUGCUUCUUAGGCCUCCCUCUGCCUCGCCGACCACCAAAAAUCUCC
rnacentral:lncRNA from 1 species